GAUGAACGCUGGCGGCGUGCCUAAUACAUGCAAGUCGAGCGGUAAGGCCCUUCGGGGUACACGAGCGGCGGACGGCUGAGUAACACGUAGGAACCUACCCCAAACUGAGGGAUAAGCACCAGAAAUUGUGUCUAAUAACGCCUGUGCUCUACGGAGUAAAGCUUCGGCGGUUUGGGAAGGGCCUGCGUCCGAUUAGCUAGUUGGUGGUAUAAAAGACUACCAAGGCGACGAUCGGUAGCUGGUCUGAGAGGAUGAUCAGCCAGACUGGGACUGAGACACGGCCCAGACUCCUACGGGAGGCAGCAGUAGGGAAUUUUCCACAAUGGGCGAAAGCCUGAUGGAGCAACGCCGCGUGCAGGAUGAAUGCCUUCGGGUUGUAAACUGCUUUUAUCUGUGACGAAUAUGACGGUAGCAGAUGAAUAAGGACCUGCUAACUACGUGCCAGCCGCCGCGGUAA
rnacentral:rRNA from 1 species